UAUUUCAGAGGCAGAUGGUACAAUGAUUCUCUACAAGAUGACUGCUUGCUUUGUAACAAACUGAAAUUAGGCGAAGUUUUUGAAUUUUAGCAAAGAGGAAAUGGUUAUUCAUAGCACGCAAUGACUACAUCAAGUUUAUGACUUUAUUCAUUUGUUGGAUGCAUUUGCGUUUGUUUUGUGUUUCAGAUAAUUUUGUGCCAAAUAUAAAUUAAUAGUUAAUAAUGUAUUGUGUCAUUCUGGAGUCACUUUUAUUGUAAAUAAGAGUAGAAUAUGUUUGUACACACUUCUACAUUAAUGUGGAUGAUAACAUGAUUAUGAAUAAUCCUGAAUAAAUCGUGAAUAAUGAUGAGUGAGAAAGUUACAGCGGCAUAAAUAUCAAACCCCAAGACAUGCUAACCUCUCACCAUUACAAUAACAGGGGAGGUUAGCAUUUUUCGGGGGGUACGGUAUAUAGCUAUAGAUAGUAGGCUACACUAAAUAAUGAAACAAUCCCUGGUAAGCUAGUGUUUUGAGGGUGGACUGACUGCAUUAUUUGGCAUUAAGAAUGGCUUUACGCACAACUUUCUAUCCAAGCUGGGAGAGAUCAUGAGGACGGCUCAUGCCAUGCAGGUUCAGAUAAAAAUACACUGAACUCUGCUGCUCUUCCUCCCUGGAAUGGACUGCCUACUCCAUUGUGUCCCCCUACCAGACUGUGUAAAACUCCUUCACACUCUCCACUGGCUCCAAUCAGUCUAACCUAAGAGCACUGUUGAAGGCAGAGAUACCCAGAAGUGUCAUGACAGCAGACAGUUCAUACAACAGCAUCCUGAGAACGUGUUGGCGUGCAGGGAUAUUAUACACCUGGCCCAGUCCUUCACAACAGCCCCAGCUUUGUCUCCCUGGAUCUGCCCAAGCACUUUGUGGAUCCCCUCAUCACCAUGACCUCGAGGAAGUCAAGCGAGCACAAGCCCUGGCAGCCUCCGGUCCUCUGUUCUUCUCAGACUGGGGUGCACAGUCCAUUCUGAGGAGCAGCCUGAUCCUGUGCCCAACCCCUGGCAGCUCAGUCUCCUUCUUCUUCUCAGCACUCGUUCUUUCACAUCAUUCAUCCUAACUUUGCCAUUACUUUUAUCAUACUUUUGCCUCCUUUGCAAUUUCAGUUGUGUAUAUACAGUGCCUUGCGAAAGUAUUC